rnacentral:rRNA from 1 species
CAGCAGCCACGGGAAUACGAAGGGGGCUAGCGUUGUUCGGAUUUACUGGGCGUAAAGGGCGCGUAGGCGGACUGAUAAGUCAGGGGUGAAAUCCCAAGGCUCAACCUUGGAACUGCCUUUGAUACUGUUUGUCUUGAGUUCGAGAGAGGUAAGUGGAACUGCGAGUGUAGAGGUGAAAUUCGUAGAUAUUCGCAAGAACACCAGUGGCGAAGACGGCUCACUGGCUCGAAACUGACGCUGAGGCACGAAAGCGUGGGGAGCAAACAGGAUUAGAUACCCCUGUAGUCCCUGUCUCUUAUAC